GCUUUCGUGGUGUAAUGGCCAGCACACUUGGCGUGUAUUCGAGAGGUCCGAGGUUCGAGUCCCGGCGAGGGCA
rnacentral:tRNA from 1 species